rnacentral:tRNA from 1 species
GCCGUGGUCGCAUAAUUUGGUAUUGCGCCUGACUCAAGAUCAGGUGAGCUGUCCAAGCUCUUGCGGGUUCGAAUCCCGUCCACGGCG